AUUAAGAAGUCUGCUCCCGAGGGGCGGGGGCGGGAAGCCGCGAGAGCCCCGCCCCCGCCCCGACCCGACCACGCCCCCUUCCAAAAGCUUGCUGGGGCGCCCCCGGGGGUGGCUUGGGGAAGGCACUGGGAUCGGACGGUAGGGGUGGGAGGGGACUCCCCGGAAGACCCGGCAGGAAGAGGAACUUUGGCAGCCGGGCCGGUUCUAAUCACCUCCUCCUGGCCUGCGUCUGGGGCGCCUGUCACUACAGCUCUCUGCUCCAAGCUGCCCACAACUUGAAUCAUUUCAUCUUCACUUAGAACACUCAAUGGCUUCCCCCAGGAUAUAAAAACUCCAGCU
ensembl:lncRNA